GUCUUUUUGAUAAUAAUUUAAAGUCUGACCUGCCCUAUGAUGUUAAUUAAAUGGCCGCGAUAAUUUGAUCGUGCAAAGGUAGCAUAAUAAUUAGUUUUUUAAUUGAGAACUGGAAUGAAAGGUCGAACGAGAAAAUUACUGUCUCAAUUUAAUUUAAAUUAGAAUUUUAUUUUUAAGUAAAAAAGCUUAAAUAAUUUUAAAAGACGAGAAGACCCUAUAGAGUUUUAUAUUUAUUAUAAUUAAUUUAAUUUUUAGAAUUUAAUUUUGAUAAUUUAUUUUAAAUAUUUGAUUGGGGUGAUUGAAAAAUUUAAAGAACUUUUUUUAAAAAUUUAACAUUGAUAUAUGAUUAAUUGAUCCAUAUUUAUAUGAUUAGAAGAUUAAAUUACCUUAGGGAUAACAGCGUAAUUUUUUUUGAGAGUUCAUAUCGAAAAAAAAGUUUGCGACCUCGAUGUUGGAUUAAAAUUAACUUUUGGUGUAGGAGCUAAAAAUGUUAGGUCUGUUCGACCUUUAAAAUUUUACA
rnacentral:rRNA from 1 species